CACGUAGGGGGCAAGCGUUGUCCGGAUUUAUUGGGCGUAAAGAGCUCGUAGGCGGCUUAGUAAGUCGGGUGUGAAACCUCCAGGCUCAACCUGGAGACGCCACCCGAUACUGCUGUGGCUAGAGUCCGGUAGGGGAGCGUGGAAUUCCUGGUGUAGCGGUGAAAUGCGCAGAUAUCAGGAGGAACACCAGCGGCGAAGGCGGGUCUCUGGGCCGAAACUGACGCUGAGGAGCGAAAGCGUGGGGCGCAAACAGG
rnacentral:rRNA from 1 species